UCCCUGGUGGCUCAGACGGUAAAGCAUCUGCCUGCAACGUGGGAGACCCGGGUUCGAUUCCUGGGUCGGGAA
rnacentral:tRNA from 1 species